CAACAUGGGCAUUCAUUUUGGCUGUUGGUGAGCAUGAAAAACAUUUGUUAAAAGCACACUUUUCAAAGACCUAGAAAUAAUACUGUUCUAUUUCAGUGAUUCUAAAAUUUAACAAUGAGACCUCCACAAAAACAUACAAUUUUAAUUUCUUAUUACAGACUUCAGCAAUGUUAAAUUGUACUAAAGUUAAUUGUAUUAUGUUUGUAUUAUAAUAAAUA